CCUACGGGAGGCAGCAGUGAGGAAUAUUGGUCAAUGGGCGGAAGCCUGAACCAGCCAAGCAGCGUGCAGGAUGACGGCCCUACGGGUUGUAAACUGCUUUUAUACGGGAAUAACGCGCCUUACGUGUAGGGCUUUGCAUGUACCGUAUGAAUAAGGACCGGCUAAUUCCGUGCCAGCAGCCGCGGUAAUACGGAAGGUCCGGGCGUUAUCCGGAUUUAUUGGGUUUAAAGGGAGCGUAGGCCGCAUGUCAAGCGUGCUGUGAAAUGUCCGGGCUCAACCCGGGCCUUGCAGCGCGAACUGGCGUGCUUGAGACCGCGGAAGGCAGGCGGAAUUCGUCGUGUAGCGGUGAAAUGCUUAGAUAUGACGAAGAACCCCGAUUGCGAAGGCAGCUUGCUGCAGCGGAACUGACGCUGAGGCUCGAAAGCGCGGGGAGCGAACAGGAUUAGAUACCCCAGUAGUC
rnacentral:rRNA from 1 species